rnacentral:rRNA from 1 species
AGUAACACGUGAGCAAUCUGCCCUUCACUUCGGGAUAACUCCGGGAAACCGGUGCUAAUACCGAAUACGACCACUUCACGCAUGUGAUGGUGGUGGAAAGUUCUGGCGGUGGAGGAUGAGCUCGCGGCCUAUCAGCUUGUUGGUGGGGUAAUGGCCCACCAAGGCAACGACGGGUAGCCGGCCUGAGAGGGUGACCGGCCACACUGGGACUGAGACACGGCCCAG